rnacentral:rRNA from 1 species
AUUGAACGCUGGCGGCAUGCCUUACACAUGCAAGUCGAACGGUAACAGGUCUUCGGAUGCUGACGAGUGGCGAACGGGUGAGUAAUACAUCGGAACGUGCCCGAUCGUGGGGGAUAACGAAGCGAAAGCUUUGCUAAUACCGCAUACGAUCUACGGAUGAAAGCAGGGGACCGCAAGGCCUUGCGCGAACGGAGCGGCCGAUGGCAGAUUAGGUAGUUGGUGGGAUAAAAGCUUACCAAGCCGACGAUCUGUAGCUGGUCUGAGAGGACGACCAGCCACACUGGAACUGAGACACGGUCCAGACUCCUACGGGAGGCAGCAGUGGGGAAUUUUGGACAAUGGACGCAAGUCUGAUCCAGCCAUUCCGCGUGCAGGACGAAGGCCUUCGGGUUGUAAACUGCUUUGUACAGAACGAAAAGUACUCUAUUAAUACUAGGGCUCAUGACGGUACUGUAAGAAUAAGACACCGGCUAACUACGUGCCAGCAGCCGACGG